rnacentral:rRNA from 1 species
UACGUAGGUGGCAAGCGUUGUCCGGAUUUACUGGGCGUAAAGAGCGCGCAGGCGGUCGUUCAAGUCGCGUGUGAAAGCCCCCGGCUCAACUGGGGAGGGUCACGCGAUACUGAUCGACUCGAAGGCAGGAGAGGGUAGUGGAAUUCCCGGUGUAGUGGUGAAAUGCGUAGAUAUCGGGAGGAACACCAGUGGCGAAGGCGGCACUCUGGGCCAGUACUGACACUGAGGAGCGAAAGCGUGGGGAGCGAACAGG